UACGUAGGGGACGAGCGUUGUCCGGAAUUAUUGGGCGUAAAAGAGCUCGUAGGCGGUUUGUUGCGUCGGCUGUGAAAUCCCGAGGCUCAACCUCGGGUCUGCAGUCGAUACGAGCAAACUAGAGUGUUGCAGGGGAGACUGGAAUUCCUGGUGUAGCGGUGAAAUGCGCAGAUAUCAGGAGGAACACCGGUGGCGAAGGUGGGUCUCUGGGCAGUAACUGACGCUGGAGGAGCGAAAGCGUGGGGAGCGAACAGG
rnacentral:rRNA from 1 species